UACGUAGGGGGCAAGCGUUGUCCGGAAUCAUUGGGCGUAAAGCGCGUGUAGGCGGCUCGGUAAGUCCGCUCUGAAAGUCCAGGGCUCAACCCUGGGAUGCGGGUGGAUACUGCCGGGCUCGAGUCCGGAAGAGGCGAGUGGAAUUCCCGGUGUAGCGGUGAAAUGCGCAGAUAUCGGAAGGAACGCCGGUGGCGAAAGCGGCGUGCUGGGCACCUCCGUGACGCUGAGGCGCGAAAGCCAGGGGAGCGAACGGG
rnacentral:rRNA from 1 species